UGAGGCAGGAGAAUCGCUUGAACCCAGGAAGUGGAGGCUGCAGUGAGCCGAGAUCGAGCCACUGCACUCCAGCCUGGGUGACAGAGCGAGACUCCAGUCUCA
rnacentral:miRNA from 1 species